UGCCCAUGGCAGGGGGUGGAACUGAUGGUCUAUAAGGUCCUUUCCAACCCACCCUUCUGUGAUUCUCUGAUCAGGGAGAGCUUUGUGUUUCAGCACCCUUUCAGGAGUGCAGAACACUGACACAAAAGGUGUGUGUUUCAGCACCCUUUCAGGCGUGCAGAACACUG